UGCUCAAUGAUUAUUUAAAUUGCCGCAGUAUUUUGACUGUGCAAAGGUAGCAUAAUAAUUAGCUUUUUAAUUGAAAGCUGGAAUGAAUGAUUGGACGAGAAAAUUUCUGUCUCUUUAUUAAUUUUAUUUAAUUUUACUUUUAAGUUAAAAGGCUUAAAUUUUAUUAAAAGACGAGAAGACCCUAUAGAGUUUAAUUUAUUUAUAUUUAUUUUUUUAUUGGAAUUUUUAAAAUUUAUUUUAUAAUAAAUUUAGUUGGGGUGACUAAAAGAUUUAUUUAACUCUUUUAAUUAUUAUCAAUUAUUUUUGAAUAUUAAAUCUAUGUUUUUAAAUUUAAAAUAAAUUACCUUGG
rnacentral:rRNA from 1 species